UGGACUGACCCUUGUAAAUGAGUUUAACUAGCUUUUUCACAUGGAUAGAAACUGUCAGUUUUCUGUCAUCUACGCUGCCCUCAGCAGUGCUUCAUGUUCCUGUGUCGGGAGACACAGGGAUUUUUUUCCUGAUUUCCUACAACCUCUGGAAAGACCUUCUCCUUUCCUAAGAAGCAUCUUGCUGUGAUGGACACCAAACCCAGAGUCUCUUCCUCCCUUCACCUUUUGCUGUUGUCAAGGUCCUCAUCUUCUCUCUUCUCAAAUGUCUGACAAAUGCCAAUUCUAGUCCACAUUCUUCUGAGUGUGACGACUCUCAAGCUUCUCAAGAAAGGCUCCCUGGAUGGAGAGCAAUGACACUCGGUGUUGGGAGCCACAUGGGACAUUCCGGGAGAAGACACAUCUGAGCAGGUUGCCCUGCAGGGUGGCAGAGGUCAGGUGGGAUUAUCUGCCCUCAGUUCUCCUUCCUCCACCUGUUCCAACCCAACCCCUGGGGUGUAACUGGCAGUUUCCCUGCCCCCAGGCUCAGACCAGACCUGUUGAAGGUGCCAGAAGCCCAGACCUGAGCUUCUGGUGCCUAGAACCAAAGGUCAAGGCUCACAGCUUUUUCCUCUGUCCAGCUCUCAGUACUGGGAAGAUGCCCAGCUAGAAGACCCAAGGCACACUUGGGACAUUCACCAAAAGCAAAGAUGUAUUUCUUCAUUCGCCAUUCCCUCCUCAUUCUUCAAAAACAAAACAAACAUUAAAAAACUAAAGCAAAAAUAGUAUCUGAUUAAUAAUAAAGAUUGCCUCUCUUUAACCUAUUCUACCCAUCUUACAAGUUAAGAGAUCAUAGAAUUUUAGACACGAAGAGAAUGAGUGUUUUCCAGCAUGGGGCCAAUAAUUACAGUGAUUUCCUAUUCCUUGGAUCUCUGAUUGCCAAUUUCUUUAGAUGGCUUCGAUGUCAUUCUACAGCUCGAGACCCAGCUUCGCUGAUGCUUUUGAACUUCUGCAAUUGACCUGCAGCCCUGUCUGGCCUAAGUGGACAGUCCAUGUCACAUUCCUCAGCCAACUACCUGUUAUGUGCAAGGAAAUGCAGGCAGAUAGCUGGACUUGCAGCUGUUAAAAGGAAUGAUCAAAGUACCAGUGUCCUGAUGAAUGUGCUCUCUGGGAAGGGACGGAGAAAGGACCUGCUUAGUGGAUGCUCCUAUUUCUAAAGUAACCCUCAAAAGGAAUUUCCUAACCUUCAUCCUGGGUGCGGGGUAUUACAGUGAGCACCUAGACCUCACUGUUUCCACUUAGUGUAGCAAGACACAAAGGGACUGGGAGAUAUCAGGAACAGAGAUUGCGAUGCAAACAGCAAUGAGCUGACAAACUUCUAGGAAUUUCAGCAGUAAGAGAGAAAGAAAAUGUCUUUGUGAGUCUCUGGACACCUUAAACCUCUUCACUCAACUCUGGUCAUUUUAUUUUUUCAUGAGUAAAAAAGUACCUUAUAGUCA